rnacentral:ncRNA from 1 species
AAACUUUGUAUUGAUUAUAAGUUAGCUCAGGCAAGACUUUUAGCAUGGUAAUAAUAGUACUCGAGGAAACAAAUCUAGAAGAAGGCUUUCUAACCCAGCAAGAAACAUUAAACUAUAUUAGAAAUAAUAAUUUAAUUUAGCCUAAAUAAGUUGGACUAAUAUAGGUGCCAGCAGUCGCGGUCAUACCUAACAGCUUAGUUAACUUCACUAGGCUAGCUUAAGAAAAGAAUUCUUAUAAGUAGGUGAAAUUAUUAUAAGAAUAAAUUUUUAUUUUCUAAUUUUUAGCUUAAGCUCUGAAGAUAAACUAGGAUUAGAUACCCUACUAUAUAGAGUAUAAAUUAUCAAGCCUAAGCACUAAGACUUUAAAGUUAAAACUUAAACUACAUGGCGGCAGUUGGAAAUUUCAGGGGAACUUGCCAAGUAAAUGAUAAUCCCCAAAAAAUUCUACUUUUAUUUGAAGUUUGUAUAUCGCCGUCUUCAGCAUUCAUUUAUGAUGAAUCCAAAAUGUUAAGAACAAAAAGACAGGUAAAGAUGCAGCCUAUAUAAAAGUUUUAGGUGAGUUACAGUAUUAAGUUAAUUUGGAAUCGUUUUGAAAUAAAACGAAGAAACUGGACUUGAAAGUAAUAUAUAUAAAAAAUACUAACUGAAUUUUCAAUCCAACUGUGUACAAAUCGCCCGUCGCUUUCAUUGAAAAAUGAAAUAAGUCGUAACACAGUAGGUGUACCGGAAGGUGUACCU